GAUGAACGCUGGCGGCGUGCCUAAUACAUGCAAGUAGAACGCUGAAGGAAGGAGUUUGCUCUUUCCGGAUGAGUUGCGAACGGGUGAGUAACGCGUAGGUAACCUGCCUGGUAGCGGGGGAUAACUAUUGGAAACGAUAGCUAAUACCGCAUAACAGUAGAUGUUGCAUGAUAUCUACUUAAAAGGUGCAAUUGCACCACUACCAGAUGGACCUGCGUUGUAUUAGCUAGUUGGUGAGGUAACGGCUCACCAAGGCGACGAUACAUAGCCGACCUGAGAGGGUGAUCGGCCACACUGGGACUGAGACACGGCCCAGACUCCUACGGGAGGCAGCAGUAGGGAAUCUUCGGCAAUGGACGGAAGUCUGACCGAGCAACGCCGCGUGAGUGAAGAAGGUUUUCGGAUCGUAAAGCUCUGUUGUAAGAGAAGAACGAGUGUGAGAGUGGAAAGUUCACACUGUGACGGUAUCUUACCAGAAAGGGACGGCUAACUACGUG
rnacentral:rRNA from 1 species